CAACCAUCUCUUUUUGAGUUAAAUUUAAAGUUUAACCUGCCCACUGAAUAAUUUAAAUGGCCGCAGUAUUUUGACUGUGCAAAGGUAGCAUAAUCAUUAGUUUUUUAAUUGAAAGCUGGAAUGAAUGGUUGGACGAAAUAUUAACUGUUUCAAUUAAAUUUAUUAUAGAAAUUUAUUUUUUAGUAAAAAAGCUAAAAUUUUAUUAAAAGACGAGAAGACCCUAUAAAUCUUUAUAUUUAAUAUUAUAAAUUUAAAAAGAAUAUUAAUAAUUUAUUGUAUUAUAAUAUUUUAUUGGGGUGAUAUUAAAAUUUAAAUAACUUUUAUAAUUUUAAAAACAUUUAUAUAUGAAUUUUUGAUCUUUUAUUAAUGAUUAUUAGAAUAAGUUACUUUAGGGAUAACAGCGUAAUUUUUUUGGAGAGUUCAUAUUGAUAAAAAAGAUUGCGACCUCGAUGUUGGAUUAAGAAAUAUGUUUAGGUGUAGAAGCUUAAAUAAUAAGUCUGUUCG
rnacentral:rRNA from 1 species